rnacentral:rRNA from 1 species
UACGGAGGGAGCUAGCGUUGUUCGGAAAUACUGGGCGUAAAGCGCACGUAGGCGGCGCAGCAAGUCAGGGGUGAAAUCCCGGGGCUCAACCCCGGAACUGCCCUUGAAACUGCAGUGCUAGAAUCUUGGAGAGGCGAGUGGAAUUCCGAGUGUAGAGGUGAAAUUCGUAGAUAUUCGCAAGAACACCAGUGGCGAAGGCGGCUCACUGGUCCGGAUCUGACGCUGAGGCGCGAAAGCGUGGGGAGCAAACAGG